rnacentral:lncRNA from 1 species
UUAUUUUGUAGUUUGGUGUUUGUCAGCUUUGCCCUCCGGGGUGCCCCCCUUUGCGGUCUGCCAUGGCGGACGAGAAAGUUUCUGAUCCCUGUAGUGUAUCUCUCUCUCUCUCUCUCUCUCUCUCCCCCUCACCCUCUCCCUUUCCCUCUCUCUCUUUCUCAUUCUCUCUCUCUCCCAAUCUCUCUCCCUCUCUCCCCCUCUCCCUCUAUCUCUCUAUAUCUAUCUAUCUAUCUAUCUAUCUAUCUAUCUAUCUAUCUAUCUAUCUAUCUAUCCAUCUAUAUUUCUGUCUGAUUAUCUAUCUAUAUAUCUAUCUAUCAAUCUAUUUAUCUAUCUAUCUAUCUAUCCAUCUAUCUAUAUACAUCCCUCUCUCUCCCUCUCCCUCUCCCUCUCCCUAUCUAUCUUUCUCUCCCUCUCCCUCUCCCUCUCCCUCUCCCUCUCCCUAUCUAUCUCUCUAUCCCUCUCUCCCUCUCCAUCUGUCCCUAUCUCUCCCUCUCACUCUCUC